CAUCAUGAUCAUCAUUCUUGCUCUCAUUUUCCCCCUCCUCCUCCUCCUCCUCUUCUUCUUCUUCCUUCUUUUUCUUUCCCUUCUUUGCCUCCUCUUUUUCUUCUUGUCCCUCAUUCUUCUCAUCGUCCUUUGUCCCUUCUCCUCCUCCUCCUACUUCUUCUUCUUCUUCUUCAACCUUUUUCUUGGAUUUGGCAUCAUCAUCAUCCUCACUGUCAAAUAUGGAUGCAUAUAAUAUAGACCCAG
rnacentral:lncRNA from 1 species